CCUACGGGAGGCAGCAGUGGGGAAUAUUGGACAAUGGGCGAAAGCCUGAUCCAGCAAUGCCGCGUGAGUGAUGAAGGCCUUCGGGUCGUAAAGCUCUUUUACCAGGGAUGAUAAUGACAGUACCUGGAGAAUAAGCUCCGGCUAACUCCGUGCCAGCAGCCGCGGUAAUACGGAGGGAGCUAGCGUUGUUCGGAAUUACUGGGCGUAAAGAGUACGUAGGCGGUUAUUCAAGUCAGAGGUGAAAGCCCGGGGCUCCACCCCGGAACUGCCUUUGAAACUAGAUAACUAGAGUCUUGGAGAGGUUAGUGGAAUUCCGAGUGUAGAGGUGAAAUUCGUAGAUAUUCGGAAGAACACCAGUGGCGAAGGCGACUAACUGGACAAGUACUGACGCUGAGGUACGAAAGCGUGGGGAGCAAACAGGAUUAGAUACCCUGGUAGUCCACGCCGUAAACGAUGAUAACUAGUUGUUCGGUCACUUGGUGACUGAGUGACGCAGCUAACGCAUUAAGUUAUCCGCCUGGGGAGUACGGUCGCAAGNUUAAAACUCAAAGGAAUUGACGGCUGAGANGCGAGCGACACGAGGAGAG
rnacentral:rRNA from 1 species